ACAGAGAUAGAGCUAUUGUGUUGAUCGUCUUAAAAAGUAAACAAUAUUUAAAAUGCAAACUCUGCAUAUCGACCACUGUUGUCUUAUUGCUUUUAUGGACAGCGACCUCGACCAAAUGUAAUGGACAGAAGAACAACAAACCUAUAUAUGCAUGUAUGUAUUUGCAUAUAAAAGCUAUUUAUAUUUGUAUUUGAAUAUAAAUACAAAAAAUUGGGAAGCGAACUGCAUUUAUAUAAGCCAUGGCCAAAUCAAACAGCCCAGCUAGCCAGUCAUGCAGUCAGCUGUGUGUCAAUUGGCGAGUCUAUUGCACUGAUAUACAUACAUACUUACAUAUGUAUGUACAUGUAUAUACAAAAAGUAUAUGACAAUCUGUAUAUGGGGCUCUCGAAGGCCACAAGGUCACCGAAAACUGGCAGUGUGGGACCAACUACCGUUGGAGCGCAAAACAGACAGCGAUAAAGAACAGAGAACAGCUGACGACACACAAGGAAAAAAA